UGCAGUCGAGCGGACAGAAGGGAGCUUGCGUCCCGGAUGUUAGCGGCGGACGGGUGAGUAACACGUGGGUAACCUGCCUGUAAGACUGGGAUAACUCCGGGAAACCGGAGCUAAUACCGGAUAGUUCCUUGAACCGCAUGGUUCAAGGAUGAAAGACGGUUUCGGCUGUCACUUACAGAUGGACCCGCGGCGCAUUAGCUAGUUGGUGAGGUAACGGCUCACCAAGGCGACGAUGCGUAGCCGACCUGAGAGGGUGAUCGGCCACACUGGGACUGAGACACGGCCCAGACUCCUACGGGAGGCAGCAGUAGGGAAUCUUCCGCAAUGGACGAAAGUCUGACGGAGCAACGCCGCGUGAGUGAUGAAGGUUUUCGGAUCGUAAAGCUCUGUUGUUAGGGAAGAACAAGUGCAAGAGUAACUGCUUGCACCUUGACGGUACCUAACCAGAAAGCCACGGCUAACUACGUGCGAGCAGCCGCGGUAAUACGUAGGUGGCAAGCGUUGUCCGGAAUUAUUGGGCGUAAAGGGCUCGCAGGCGGUUUCUUAAGUCUGAUGUGAAAGCCCCCGGCUCAACCGGGGAGGGUCAUUGGAAACUGGGAAACUUGAGUGCAGAAGGGGGAGAGUGGAAUUCCACGUGUA
rnacentral:rRNA from 1 species